rnacentral:antisense_RNA from 1 species
GAUAACCAUAAAUGGUCAAUGGAUUGAGGGUUGGUUCCGUCACCACUCUCACAGCAUGAAUAGUGGCAUCAUAGAGCCCACCGAAAUACAUAGCCUUGGCAGCCAGUAAUAAGGCUCCCGCCCCUAAGAACAGUAAAUGAUGUCCCAAGAUGAUUCCUAAUUUGCGUGAGUCACUCCA